rnacentral:rRNA from 1 species
AUAAAGUGGCGAACGGCUGAGUAACACGUGGGCAACCUGCCCUUUGCACUGGGAUAGCCUCGGGAAACCGAGGUUAAUACCGGAUACUCCAUAUUUGUCGCAUGGCGAAUAUGGGAAAGCUCCGGCGGCAAAGGAUGGGCCCGCGGCCUGUUAGCUAGUUGGUGGGGUGGUGGCCUACCAAGGCAAUGAUGGGUAGCCGGGUUGAGAGACCGACCGGCCAGAUUGGGACUGAGACACGGCCCAGACUCCUACGGGAGGCAGCAGGU